UUUUGGUAGAGGUUGCGUGGUUCAUCAGUACACCAUUGGAUAUAUCAGGUAUAGAAGAAGAUGGUCAAAAGGGAAAUACGCCGAAGGAAUCGUUGUCCUGUUACAAUAAUUCUUGGGUAUAUAGUGAAGAACUAUAUAACUGUCAUCUAAAGGAUGGAGUGCUAUCUA
rnacentral:ncRNA from 1 species